rnacentral:lncRNA from 1 species
GGAAUAAAGCCAUGGGAGUUUACUGAAGACCCGAAAGAUCUGGAAAAGGAAGAGAUGUAUCAUGUAUCAUGAGGAGCAAAUAAAUCUGUGUUUAAAUAUCACCUCAACCAAUGACAAAAGAAACUAACCAAGAACUAAUUCUAAAGUUCAUAAAAAGAAUAAAGUAGGAAUCCUAUGAAAAAUAUAGCUAGAACACUUUUUU